rnacentral:rRNA from 1 species
AUUGACGGGACCGCACAGCGGUGGAUGAUGUGGUUUAAUUCGAUGCAACGCGAAAAACCUUACCCACCUUUGACAUGGCAGGAACUUACCAGAGAUGGUUUGGUGCUCGAAAGAGAACCUGCACACAGGUGCUGCAUGGCUGUCGUCAGCUCGUGUCGUGAGAUGUUGGGUUAAGUCCCGCAACGAGCGCAACCCUUGCCAUUAGUUGCUACAUUCAGUUGAGCACUCUAAUGGGACUGCCGGUGACAAACCGGAGGAAGGUGGGGAUGACGUCAAGUCCUCAUGGCCCUAUAGGUGGGGCUACACACGUCAUACAAUGGCUGGUACAAAGGGUUGCCAACCCGCGAGGGGGAGCUAAUCCCAUAAAGCCAGUCGUAGUCCGGAUCGCAGUCUGCAACUCGACUGCGUGAAGUCGGAAUCGCUAGUAAUCGUGGAUCAGAAUGUCACGGUGAAUACGUUCCCGGGUCUUGUACACACCGCCCGUCACACCAUGGGAGCGGGUCUCGCCAGAAGUAGGUAGCCUAACCGCAAGGAGGGCGCUUACCACGGCGGGGUUCGUGACUGGGGUGAAGUCGUAACAAGGUAACCUA